rnacentral:rRNA from 1 species
AUGGAGGAGAGGCUGAAACUAAGUCGCGACAGCACGACGGAGGAAGUGGAUGCUACGCAGUACCGACGCCUUGUGGGGAGCCUUCGCUACCUCACUCACACACGGCCGGACUUGGCAUUCUCCGUCGGCUAUGUCAGUCGGUUCAUGGAGCGACCAACGUCGGAACACCAGCAGGCAGUGAAGAGGAUCGUCCGCUACAUAGCAGGGACCCUCGACCACGGCCUCCAUUACCCUAGGUGCCCUGGGGCGGCACACUUCGUCGGGUACAGCGACAGCGACCACGCCGGCGACAUCGACACCAGCAAGAGCACGAGCGGGAUCCUCCUCUUCCUCGGCAAGUGUCUCGUGAGCUGGCAAUCAGUCAAGCAGCAGGUGGUGGCCCUGUCCAGCUGUGAGGCUGAGUACAUAGCGGCCUCCACCGCCUGUACUCAGGCGCUCUGGCUUGCUCGACUGCUUGGUGAUCUUCUCGUUCAAGACACCAGAACGGUGCAGCUCCUGGUGGACAGCAAGUCCGCCCUGGCCCUGGCAAAGAACCCCGUGUUCCACGAACGGAGCAAGCACAUCCGACUGAGGUAUCACUUCAUUCGCAGCUGUGUGGAAGAAGGGAGCAUCGAGGCGAGCUACAUCAACACCAAGGAUCAGCUCGCAGACCUGCUCACCAAGCCCCUUGGGAGGGUCAAGUUCCUCGAACUUUGCUCCAGGAUUGGGAUGAUUCAACUCUCCCACAAGACGACGUACAAGACUUAG